GACGAACGCUGGCGGCGUGCUUAACACAUGCAAGUCGAACGGAAAGGCCCUGCUUUUGUGGGGUGCUCGAGUGGCGAACGGGUGAGUAACACGUGAGUAACCUGCCCUUGACUUUGGGAUAACUUCAGGAAACUGGGGCUAAUACCGGAUAGGAGCUCCUGCUGCAUGGUGGGGGUUGGAAAGUUUCGGCGGUUGGGGAUGGACUCGCGGCUUAUCAGCUUGUUGGUGGGGUAGUGGCUUACCAAGGCUUUGACGGGUAGCCGGCCUGAGAGGGUGACCGGCCACAGUGGGACUGAGAUACGGCCCAGACUCCUACGGGAGGCAGCAGUGGGGAAUAUUACACAAUGGGCGGAAGCCUGAUGCAGCAACGCCGCGUGCGGGAUGACGGCCUUCGGGUUGUAAACCGCUUUCGCCUGUGACGAAGCGUGAGUGACGGUAAUGGGUAAAGAAGCACCGGCUAACUACGUG
rnacentral:rRNA from 1 species